rnacentral:rRNA from 1 species
CCUACGGGGGGCAGCAGUGGGGAAUAUUGGGCAAUGGAGGAAACUCUGACCCAGCAACGCCGCGUGAAUGAUGAAGGUCUUCGGAUUGUAAAGUUCUUUUCUAAGGGAAGAAGAAAGUGACGGUACCUUAGGAAUAAGCCUCGGCUAACUACGUGCCAGCAGCCGCGGUAAUACGUAGGAGGCAAGCGUUAUCCGGAAUGACUGGGCGUAAAGGGUGCGUAGGUGGUUUGACAAGUUGGUAGCGUAACUCCGGGGCUCAACCUCGGCACUACUACCAAAACUGUUGGACUUGAGUGCAGGAGAGGCAAUCGGAAUUCCGGGUGUAGCGGUGAAAUGCGUAGAUAUACGGAGGAACACCAGUGGCGAAGGCGGAUUGCUGGACAGUAACUGACGCUGAGGCGCGAAAGCGUGGGGAGCAAACAGGAUUAGAUACCCCUGUAGUC